GACCCCUCAGUUUUCUUUAUCUUUAAAAAUGGGGUUGAGAAAGUCUCUACUCUCAGAAAAGGGAAAGGGGAAUGACAUGGUAAAUACAUCCUUUGGUCUGGUAAUCACUGCCAUGGAGGCUGAGAUUUGCAAGUGGGUCAAAGAGAAAUAGACAUUGCAUUAUCUAUUUCCGAAAGGGCACGUGAAGCCACAAUAAUGACUUAGCAAGUGGGUCCUUUCCCACCCGCCCCAGAAAGGUGAAUUCAAGGGUCCCAAAGGGUGGCUGGGCAGACUAGGAAUUUUCUUCCCUUAACUACUAAAGGGAGAGAGAAUCCCAAAGCACGGGGAAAGGCAUCAUGCCAUCGGGGAUCGGAAACGGUUUAAAUCUUCCUGAAGGGGUCCCUGGCCCGAAGCGCGUGACCUCCGCCAGGCGAUGAGUUCGCUCAGCCACAAUUUCUACGCUUGGACAGUAGGCUCCCUGCGGCAUCCGAGGCCGCUCACCGUUCAGGGUGUAUGAGACUGCGCCAACCCGAAGUCCGGUCCCGCGCGGCGGGCCCAGCCUGUCCCUCGGGGCAUGGCCACCGCCCAGGCCUCGGCCGCGGGCCACGCGGCCACCACGCCCCGACUCCCAGCCACAGCCCCUCCCGCCCGGCCCCACCCGGCCGGUCCGACUCACCCGUGUAGUGUACCACGCAGGUCUGGCCGCGCUUCGGGAAGGUGCGCCCUGAGGAGAGACAGACUGCAGAUAAAGAAUGCCAGGACCCCACCAAAGAUUCCACAGGGAUACAGGAGACAAGCGGGGAGUGAAGAUCCAGCCUGCCUCAAUCUUUGGUGUAAAAGCCAUCUUAUCAUAAAGACAAAGGAGGCCCACUCCUGUCUAUGGUUAGGCCUCUGCUUCUCAAGGAUUGGGCUUAUGCCCUACCUGCACCCUUACCUACAGAUAGUAGUUGGUUACCACCUGUUCCAGGAAUGGCAAUCCUGUCCCUGUUUCAAAGAGUGGUUUAUAGCCAUCUUGCAAUCCUACCCUUGUUGCAAAAGAUUAUAUGACCACCUAAUGACUACCUAGUUAUGACAAUGACUGCCUGCUGUUCCCACCUUGCAACCGUGUCUGUGUUUCAAGAGAUCAUUAGGACUGACUUGUUUGCCCUGCUCCUAUAAUGCCACCUAUUUUGCCCAUCAAAUCCACCACUUGGAAAUUCCGUACCCCUGAGCUAUGAAAGCCUUGUCUUCCUCACAUCGCAUCUAAUCUCGAACCCUGCCAUAGGGAGAGGCAGCCCUUGUGCAUGUUUAAAAAAAAAAAAACUCCUGUUUUAAUUAA